CCCCCCCCUUCCCCUCGCAGCCCCCCGGAGGCUCCAGAUGUGGCCCCAGCUGGGGAGCGGCCCCAAAAAGGCCCCUUCUGCCCCCAAACCCCCAAUCCAGAUGUUGGGGGGCCCAAAAUUGGGGGUCAGACGCUGGGGGUGGAGAGUGACACAGAUGUGGAGGAGGAGGAGCCAAAUCCAGAUGUUGGGGCCACCAGAAGACCCAAAAUAACCCCAAAAGACCCCAAAAUUCCCAGUGUGAUGGCGGAGACCCCAAAUCCAGAUGUUGUGGGGCCCAAAAUCAGCCCUGGGCUGUUCCUGGUGGAGAGUGACACAGAUGUGGAGGAGGAGGAGCCACAUCCAGAUGUUGGGAGCCCAAAAAGGCCUAAAAUGACCCUAAAACACCCCAAAACUCCAGAUGUGGCUGUAAAGACCCCAAAUCCAGAUGUGGACCCCCAAAACAGCUGUGGGAUGUUCCUGGUGGACAGUGACACAGAUGUGGAAGAGGAGGAGCCAAAUCCAGAUAUUGGGAGCCUGAAAAAACCCCAAAUGACCCCAAAAGUGCCCGAAACUCCAGGUGUGGGGGUUCAGACCCCAAAUCCAGAUGUUGAGGGCCCCAAAAAUGGGCAUCAGAUGCUGUUGGUGGACAGUGACACAGAUGUGGAAGAGGAGGAGCCACAUCCAGAUGUUGGGAGCCCCAAAACACCCAAAAUGGCCCCAAAAGACCCCAAAACUCCAGAUGUGGCUGCAAAGACCCCAAAUCCAGAUGUUGAGGGCCCCAAAAAUGGGGGUCAGGCGCUGGUGGUGGACAGUGACACAGAUGUGGAGGAGGAGUCAAAUCCAGAUGUUGGGAGCCCAAAACCACCCAGAACGACCCAAAAUGUCCCUGAAAGUCCAGAUGUGGCUGUGGAGACCCCAAAUCCAGAUGUUGGGGGGCCCAAAAACAACCUUGGGCUGUUCCUGGUGGACAGUGACACAGAUGUGGAGGGGGAGGAGCCAAAUCCAGAUGUUGGGAGCCCCAAAACACCCAAAAUGACCAUAAAACACCCCAGAACUCCAGAUGUGGCUGCGAAGACCCCGAAUCCAGAUGUUGAGGGCCCCAAAAAUGGGCAUCAGAUGCUGUUGGUGGAGAGUGACACAGAUGUGGAGGAGGAGGAGCCACAUCCAGAUGUUGGGAGCCCCAAACCCCCCAGAACGACCCAAAAUGUCCCCGAAACUCCAGAUGUGGACGUUCCGACCCCAAAUCCAGAUGUUGAGGGUCCCAAAACCCGCUGUGGGCUGUUGCUGGUGGACAGUGAGCCAGAUGUGGAGGAGGGGGAAGAGGAGGGCUCCGAUGCAGAUGUGGCCACCCAGCUGUUCCUGCCCCCUCCAGAUGUGGAAGAGGGGGAGGGCUCUGAUCCAGGUGUGGCCACCCAGCUGUUCCUCCCCCCUCCAGAUGUUGGGGCCCCGAGCUCCCCCCCAACUCCAGAUGUUCCAGGGCCUGAUUCAGGGGUGGGAGCGGACCCAGAUGUGGAGGGGGAGGAGCCAGAUCCAGAUGUUGGGCUGCCCAAACUCCUCCGGGCCCGCCUGGGUGUCUCCAGAGUUCCAGAUGUGGAGGGACCAGAUCCAGAUGUGG
ensembl:lncRNA